ensembl:lncRNA
AGAGAGAGAGAGAUAUAAAGAGAGGGAGAGAGAUAUAAAGAGAGGGAGAGAGAUAUAAAGAGAGGGAGAUAUAAAGAGAGGGAGAGAGAUAUAAAGAGAGGGAGAGAGAUAUAAGGAGAGGGAGAGAGAUAUAAAGAGAGGGAGAGAGAUAUAAAGAGUGGGAGAGAGACAUAAAAAGAGGGAGAGAGAUAUAAGGAGAGGGACAGAGAUAUAAAGAGAGGGAGAGAAAGAUAAAGAGAGGGAGAGAGAUAUAAAGAGAGGGAGAGAGAGAUAAAGAGAUGGAGAUUUAAAGAGAGGGAGAGAGAGAUAAAGAGAGGGAGAUAUAAAGAGAGGGAGAGAGAGAUAAAGAGAGGGAGAUAUAAAGAGAGGGAGAUAAAGAGAAGGAGAGAGAUAUAAAGAGAGGGAGAGAGAUGAAGAGAGGGAGAUAUAAAGAGAGGGAGAGAAAGAUAAAGAGAGGGAGAGAGAUAUAAAGAGAUGGAGAGAGAGAUAAAGAGAGGGAGAUAUAAAGAGAGGGAGAGAGAGAUAAAGAGAGGGAGAUAUAAAGAGAGGGAGAGCGAGAUAAAGAGAGGGAGAUAUAAAGAGAGGGAGAUAUAAAGAGAAGGAGAGAGAGAUAAAGAGAGGGAGCUAUAAAGAGAGGGAGAUAAAGAGAAGGAGAGAGAUAUAAAGAGAGGGAGGGAGAUAUAAAGAGAGGGAGAGAGAUGAAGAGAGGGAGAUAAUAAGAGAGGGAUAGAGAUAUAAAGAGAGGGAGAGAGAUAUGAAGAGAGUGAGAGAGAUAUAAAGAGAGGGGGAGAGAUAUAAAGAGAGGGAGAUGUAAAGAGAGGGAGAGAGAUAUAAGGAGUGGGAGAGAGAGAUAAAGAGAGGGAGAGAGAUAUAAGGAGAGGGACAGAGACAUAAAGAGAGGGAGAGAGAUGAAGAGAGGGAGAUAAUAAGAGCGGGAUAGAGAUAUAAAGAAAGGGAGAGAGAUAUGAAGAGAGUGAGAGAGAUAUAAAGAGAGGGGGAGAGAUAUAAAGAGAGAGAGAGAUAUAAAGAGAGGGGGAUAUAAAGAGAGGGAGAGAGAUAUGUAGAGAGGGAGAGAGCGAUAAAGAGAGAGAGAGAUAUAUAAAGAGAGGGGGAUAUAAAGAGAGGGAGAGAGAUGUGAAGAGAGGGAGAGAGAUAUAAAAGAGGGAGGGAGAUAUAAAGAGAGGGAGAGAGAAAUGAAGAGAGGGAAAGAGAUGAAGAGAGGGAGAAAGAUAUAAAGAGAGGGAGAGAGAUAUAAAGAGUGGGAGAGAGAGAUAAAGAGAGGGAGAGAGAUAUAAGGAGAGGGACAGAGAUAUAAAGAGAGGGAGAUAUAAAGAGAGGGAGAUAUAAAGAGAGGGAGAGAGAUAUAAAGAGAGGGAGACAGAGAUAAAGAUAGGGAGAUAUAAAGAGAGGGAGAGAGAGAUAAAGAGAGGGAGAUAUAAAGAGAGGGAGAGAGAGAUAAAGAGAGGGAGAGAGAGAUAAAGAGAGGGAGAUAUAAAGAGAGGGAGAGAGAGAUAAAGAGAGGGAGCUAUCAAGAGAGGGAGAUAAAGAGAAGGAGAGAGAUAUAAAGAGAGGGAGAGAGAUGAAGAGAGUGAGAGAGAUAUAAAGAGAGGGGGAGAGAUAUAAAGAGAGAGAGAUAUAUAAAGAGAGGGGGAUAUAAAGAGAGGGAGAGAGAUAUGUAGAGAGGGAGAGAGAGAAAGAGAGGGAGAGAGAGAUAAAGAGAGGGAGAUAUAAAGAGAGGGAGAUAUAAAGAGAGGGAGAGAGAUAUAAAGAGAGGGAGAUGUAAAGAGAGGGAGAGAGAUAUAAGGAGAGGGAGAGAGAUAUAAAGAGAGGGAGAGAGAUAUAAAGAGUGGGAGAGAGAGAUAAAGAGAGGGAGAGAGAUAUAAGGAGAGGGACAGAUAUAUAAAGAGAGGGAGAUAUAAAGAGAGGGAGAGAAAGAUAAAGAGAGGGAGAGAGAUAUAAAGAGAGGGAGAGAGAGAUAAAGAGAUAUAAAGAGAGGGAGAGAGAGAUAAAGAGAGGGAGAUAUAAAGAGAGGGAGAGAGAGAUAAAGAGAGGGAGAUAUAAAGAGAGGGAGAGAGAGAUAAAGAGAGGGAGCUAUAAAGAGAGGGAGAUAAAGAGAAGGAGAGAGAUAUAAAGAGAGGGAGAGAGAUGAAGAGAGUGAGAGAGAUAUAAAGAGAGGGGGAGAGAUAUAAAGAGAGAGAGAGAUAUAAAGAGAGGGGGAUAUAAAGAGAGGGAGAGAGAUAUGUAGAGAGGGAGAGAGAGAUAAAGAGAGAGAGAGAGAGAGAUAAAGCGAGGGGGAUAUAAAGAGAGGGAGAGAGAUAUGAAGAGAGGGAGAGAGAUAUAAAAGAGGGAGGGAGAUAUAAAGAGAGGGAGAGAGAUAUGAAGAGAGGGAAAGAGAUGAAGAGAGGGAGAAAGAUAUAAAGAGAGGGAGAGAGAUAUAAAGAGUGGGAGAGAGAGAUAAAGAGAGGGAGAGAGAUAUAAGGAGAGGGACAGAGAUAUAAAGAGAGGGAGAUAUAAAGAGAGGGAGAGAGAUAUAAAGAGAGGGAGACAGAGAUAAAGAGAGGGAGAUAUAAAGAGAGGGAGAGAGAGAUAAAGAGAGGGAGAUAUAAAGAGAGGGCGAGAGAUGUAAAGAGAGGGAGAUGUAAAGAGAGGGAGAGAGAUAUGAAGAGAGGAUGAGAGAUAUAAAGGGAGGGAGAGAGAUACAAAGAGAGGGAGGGAGAUAUAAAGAGAGGGAGAGAGAUAUAAAGAGAGGGAGAUGUAAAGAGAGGGAGAGAGAUAUGAAGAGAGGGAGUGAGAUAUAAAGGGAGGGAGAGAGAUACAAAGAGAGGGAGGGAGAUAUAAAGAGAGGGAGUGAGAUAUAAAGAGAGGGGGAUAUAAAGAGAGAGAGAGAGAUAUAAAGGGAGGGAGAGAGAUACAAAGAGAGGGAGGGAGAUAUAAAGAGAGGGAGAGAGAUAUGAAGAGAGGGAGAGAGAUGAAGAGAGGGAGAGAGAUAAAGAGAAGGAGAGAGAGAUACAGAGAGAGAGAUAAAGACAGUGAGAUAUAAAGAGGGAGAUCUAAAGAGAGGGAGAGAGAUAAAAAGAGGGAGAGAGAUAAAGAGAAGGAGAGAGAGAUACAG